rnacentral:rRNA from 1 species
GAUGAACGCUAGCUACAGACUUAACACAUGCAAGUCGAGGGGAAACGAUAGAGAAAGCUUGCUUUUUCAGGCGUCGACCGGCGCACGGGUGAGUAACGCGUAUCCAACCUGCCCAUCACUUGGGGAUAACCUUGCGAAAGUAAGACUAAUACCCAAUGAUAUCUCUAGAAGACAUCUGAAAGAGAUUAAAGAUUUAUCGCUGAUAGAUAGGCAUGCGUUCCAUUAGGCAGUUGGCGGGGUAACGGCCCACAAACCGACGAUGGAUAGGGGUUCUGAGAGGAAGGUCCCCCACAUUGGUACUGAGACACGGACCAAACUCCUACGGGAGGCAGCAGUGAGGAAUAUUGGUCAAUGGCCGAGAGGCUGAACCAGCCAAGUCGCGUGAAGGAAGAAGGAUCUAUGGUUUGUAAACUUCUUUUAUAGGGGAAUAAAGUGGAGGACGUGUCCUUUUUUGUAUGUACCCUAUGAAUAAGCAUCGGCUAACUCCGUG